rnacentral:rRNA from 1 species
GCUGGCAGCCAUAUCACCCUGUAGCCCAAGACUGGUUGCCCACUGAAGCUAAGCAGGGUUGAGCCUGGUUAGUACCUGGAUGGGAGACCUCCUGGGAAAACUAGGUUGCUGCUGGAA